CCUAACGCUAGCGGCAUCCUAAUACAUGCAAGUCGAACGGAAGUUUAAGCAAUUAAACUUUAGUGGCGAACGGGUGAGUAACGCGUAAGAAUCUGCCCCUAAGACGAGGAUAACAGUUGGAAACGACUGCUAAGACUGGAUAGGAGAUAAGAAGGCAUCUUUUUAUUUUUAAAAGACCUAGCAAUAGGUAUGCUUAGGGAAGAGCUUGCGUCACAUUAGUUAGUUGGUGGGGUAAUGGCCUACCAAGACGAUGAUGUGUAGCCGGGCUGAGAGGUCGAACGGCCACAUUGGGACUGAGACACGGCCCAAACUCCUACGGGAGGCAGCAGUAAGGAAUUUUCGGCAAUGGAGGAAACUCUGACCGAGCAAUGACGUGUGCAACGAUGAAGUAUUUCGGUACGUAAAGUUCUUUUAUUAGGGAAGAAAAGAUGGUGGAAAAACCAUUAUGACGGUACCUAAUGAAUAAGCCCCGGCUAACUAUGUGCCAGCAGCCGCGGUAAUACAUAGGGGGCAAGCGUUAUCCGGAAUUAUUGGGCGUAAAGGGUGCGUAGGCGGUUAAAUAAGUUUAUGGUCUCAGUGCAACGCUCAACGUUGUGAUGCUAUAAAAACUGUUUAGCUAGAGUUGGAUAGAGGCAAGUGGAAUUCCGUGUGUAGUGGUAAAAUGCGUAAAUAUACGGAGGAACACCAGAAGCGAAGGCGGCUUGCUGGGUCUUAACUGACGCUGAGGCACGAAAGCGUGGGGAGCAAACAGGAUUAGAUACCCUNGUAGUCCACGCCCUAAACGAUGAGUACUAAACGUUGGCUAAAACCAGUGUUGAAGUUAACACAUUAAGUCCUCCGCCUGAGUAGUACGUACGCAAGUAUGAAACUUAAAGGAAUUGACGGGACUCCGCACAAGCGGUGGAUCAUGUUGUUUAAUUCGAAGGUACCCGAAAAACCUCACCAGGUCUUGACAUGCUUUUGCAAAGCUGUAGAAAUACAGUGGAGGUUAUCAGAAGCAACUUUAGCAAGACUGCCAAUGAUAAAUUGGAGGACGGUGGGGACGACGUCAAAUCAUCAUGCCCCUUAUGACCUGGGCUACAAACGUGAUACAAUGGCUGUUACAAAGGGUAGCUAAAGCGUAAGCUUCUGGCGAAUCUCAAAAGAGCAGUCUCAGUUCGGAGUGAAGUCUGCAACUCGACUUCAUGAAGUUGGAAUCGCUAGUAAUCGCGAAUCAGCAUUCCCCGAAAAGUUCGCUUCGUCGCGGUGAAUACGUUCUCGGGGUUUGUACACAACGCCCGUCAAACCACGAAAGUUGGCAAUACCCAAAGCCGGUGGCCUAACUUGAGCAAUCAAGAAGGAGCCGUCUAAGGUAGGGUUGAUGAUUGGGGUUAAGUCGUAACAAGGUAUCCCUACCGGAAGAUGGGGAUGGAUCACCUCA
rnacentral:rRNA from 1 species